rnacentral:lncRNA from 1 species
ACGCAUCGACGAAUCAUUUUAUCUGCACAUUGUUUGAAUAAAUACGGCUCAUCCCACAUGUACCACUUGACGUCAUAUAGGAACUUCUUCUUUUGUUGCCUUGUAAGAUUAGUGGGAAAGAUGUUGUUCACCAAAUAGUUGGAAAAAUCUACAUACCAUGGAAAUUUUACAUUGACUCCAAACAACUGCUUAUCCAAAAAC